CCCCUAGAUGUUCUGGGCCGCACGCGCGCUACACUGAACAGUUCAACAAGUCUUAACCUUGGCCGAUAGGUCUGGGUAAUCUUUGAACGCUGUUCGUGAUUGGGAUAGACCUUUGCAAUUAUGGGUCUUCAACGAGGAAUUCCUAGUAAACGCAAGUCAUCAGCUUGCAUUGAUUACGUCCCUGCCCUUUGUACACACCGCCCCUCGCACCUACCGAUUGAAUGGUCCGGUGAAAUCUCGGGACGGCGGCUCGGUCGCUUGCGUCCGACUGCUGAAACUUGAUUAAACCAUAUCAUUUAGAGGAAGGUGAAGUCGUAACA
rnacentral:rRNA from 1 species